rnacentral:other from 10 species
GCGACCGGGCAUUGCCCCCAGUCUCCCCCAAAUUUGGGCAUUGUCCCCGGGUCUUCCAACGGACUGGGCGNNGCUCCCGGACACUGAGGACUGGCCCCGGGGUCUCGCUCACCUUCAGCAG